GUGGGGAAUCUUGCGCAAUGGGCGAAAGCCUGACGCAGCCAUGCCGCGUGAAUGAUGAAGGUCUUAGGAUUGUAAAAUUCUUUCACCGGGGACGAUAAUGACGGUACCCGGAGAAGAAGCCCCGGCUAACUUCGUGCCAGCAGCCGCGGUAAUACGAAGGGGGCUAGCGUUGCUCGGAAUUACUGGGCGUAAAGGGCGCGUAGGCGGAUCGUUAAGUCAGGGGUGAAAUCCCAGGGCUCAACUCUGGAACUGCCCUUGAUACUGGCGAUCUUGAGUGUGAGAGAGGUAUGUGGAACUCCGAGUGUAGAGGUGAAAUUCGUAGAUAUUCGGAAGAACACCAGUGGCGAAGGCGACAUACUGGCUCAUUACUGACGCUGAGGCGCGAAAGCGUGGGGAGCAAACAGGAUUAGAAACCCGGGUAGUCC
rnacentral:rRNA from 1 species